rnacentral:snoRNA from 1 species
GGAUUGAUGAUGAAAAUAACUGUCUGAGGAUGCUGAAUGGCUCAUACAAAUAGCAAUGUGAGGUCC